rnacentral:rRNA from 1 species
UAGAACGUUAACGUACGGUACGACUCGGUGACAGGUGGUGCAUGGUUGUCGUCAGCUCGUGUCGUGAGAUGUUGGUUAAGUCCCGCAACGAGCGCAACCCCUAUUGUUAGUUGCCAUCAUUCAGUUGGGCACUCUAGCGAGACUGCCGGUAAUAAACCGGAGGAAGGUGGGAUGACGUCAAAUCAUCAUGCCCCUUAUGACCUGGGCUACACACGUGCUACAAUGGUUGGUACAACGAGUUGCGAGUCGGUGACGGCGAGCUAAUCUCUUAAAGCCAAUCUCAGUUCGGAUUGUAGGCUGCAACUCGCCUACAUGAAGUCGGAAUCGCUAGUAAUCGCGGAUCAGCAUGUCGCGGUGAAUACGUUCCCGGGUCUU